rnacentral:sRNA from 1 species
GAAAGGGCAGAGGGCAAGAAGGAUAUAUUAGAAACAGAAGACGUGAUUGUUCACAGUCAGUUACAGAUUGAACUCCUUGUUCUACUACUUUCCCCCCUCCUCACUACUGCACUUGACUAGUCUUAA